GCCUUCGUGGUGUAGUGGUCAGCACACUCGGAGCGAAUUCCAGAGGUCAGAGGUUCGAGUCCCGGCGUGGGCA
rfam:Stegodyphus mimosarum contig25640, whole genome shotgun sequence.